rnacentral:rRNA from 1 species
UACGUAGGGCGCAAGCGUUGUCCGGAAUUAUUGGGCGUAAAGAGCUCGUAGGCGGUCUGUUACGUCCGCUGUGAAAACCCAGGGCUUAACCCUGGGCUUGCAGUGGAUACGGGUAGACUAGAGGCAGGUAGGGGAGAAUGGAAUUCCCGGUGUAGCGGUGAAAUGCGCAGAUAUCGGGAGGAACACCGGUGGCGAAGGCGGUUCUCUGGGCCUGACCUGACGCUGAGGAGCGAAAGCGUGGGGAGCGAACAG